UUUAGCCUCUCAGCCCCCCUUUAUCAGUAGCCUCAAAUAAUUUCCAGUUUUUCUCUCCUACCUCUCCCAUGCCUUUCUUUCUUUAUUACCACCAUAUAUCUUCCAAAAACACAAAUAUGACAACAAAAGUAGAGCUCAUAACAUAAAACAGUAUGAAUAUGAUUACAUAUCCCAAGUACCAUAAAAAAAUAAAAAACCAACAAUAGACUAUAUAAAUGGCACCUCUGAUCAAGAAAAAGGACAAGCAUUCCACUGGAAGACUGGGUCAAGGUCAAGAGCAAGAAAUUCACAAGAGUAACAAGAGCAGGGACAACUAUGUUUGUAUUCUUACUAAGCUUCUGGCAGAGAGUAAGAUACUGCCAGGCAGCAGAUACUAUUCAAAAGAGCACUUUACAACAACAGUCUAAGAUAGCUAUUAUAUUAAGUCUAUUGCACAAAUGAAAAAAAAUGAAGUAUAGAGAUUUGAACUAACUUAUCUUAGGUCUCAAUGCUAGUCAAUAGCAAAGCCAGCAUUCAAAUCCAGUCAGUCUUGACUUCAUAUAAGCAUUACUUUAUAAAAGUGAUUACUAAAGACACAAAAAAAGGGCUUCCAGUUAAAGAUGGCAGAUGGAA